UACGGGGGGGGCAAGCGUUGUUCGGAAUUACUGGGCGUAAAGGGCUCGUAGGCGGCCAACUAAGUCGGACGUGAAAUCCCCAGGCUCAACCUGGGAACUGCGUCUGAUACUGGAUGGCUUGAAUUCGGGAGAGGGAUGCAGAAUUCCAGGUGUAGCGGUGAAAUGCGUAGAUAUCUGGAGGAAUACCGGUGGCGAAGGCGGCAUCCUGGACCGAGAUUGACACUGAUGAGCGAAAGCCAGGGGAGCAAACGGG
rnacentral:rRNA from 1 species